rnacentral:rRNA from 1 species
AGCAGCCGCGGUAAUUCCAGCUCCAAUAGCGUAUAUUAAAGUUGUUGCAGUUAAAAAGCUCGUAGUUGAAUUUCGAGAUCAAAUUGUUGGUCGUGCCUUGGUACGUACUGGCAUUAUUGAUUUCUCCUUUCUGAAGAACCAUGAUGUCAUUAAUUUGGUGUCUUGGGGAAUCAGGACCGUUACUUUGAAAAAAAUUAGAGUGUUUAAAGCAGGCUCACGCUUGAAUACAUUAGCAUGGAAUAAUGAAAUAGGACGUUUGAUUCUAUUUUGUUGGUUUCUAGGAUCGACGUAAUGAUUAAUAGGGAUAGUUGGGGGCAUUAGUAUUCAAUUGUCAGAGGUGAAAUUCUUGGAUUUAUUGAAGACUAACUACUGCGAAAGCAUUUGCCAAGGAUGUUUUCAUUAAUCAAGAACGAAAGUUAGGGGAUCGAAGACGAUCAGAUACCGUCGUAGUACUUAA